GGAUUGCCUUAGUAACGGCGAGUGAAGCGGCAACAGCUCAAAUUUGAAAUCUGGCGUCUUUGGCGUCCGAGUUGUAAUUUGCAGAGGAUGCUUCGGCGUUGGCGCCGCCCAAAGUUCCUUGGAACGGGACGUCGCAGAGGGUGAGAGCCCCGUGUUCGGGCGGAUGCCUUCGCCGUGUGAAGCUCCUUCGACGAGUCGAGUUGUUUGGGAAUGCAGCUCAAAACGGGAGGUAAAUUUCUUCCAAAGCUAAAUACCGGCCGGAGACCGAUAGUGCACAAGUAGAGUGAUCGAAAGAUGAAAAGCACUUUGGAAAGAGAGUCAAACAGCGCGUGAAAUUGUUAAAAGGGAAGCGCUUGCGGUCAGAACUUGGCCGCCGUUGCUCGGGGAGGUCUUGCGCCUCCCUCGCUCUUCGGCGGCUGGGCCAGCAUCGGUUCGGGCGGCUCGAGAAAGGUCGCGGGAAUGUAGCUCCCUCCGGGGAGUGUUAUAGCCCGCGGCGCAAUAGGGCCCGCCUGGACCGAGGUCUGCGCAUUUGCUCGGAUGCUGGCGUAAUGGCCCCAAGCGGCCCGUCUUGAAACACGGACCAAGGAGUCUAACAUUCGUGCGAGUGUUCGGGUGUCAAACCCGUGCGCGCAAUGAAAGUGAACGUAGGUGGGAACCCCUCGUGGGCGCACCAUCGACCGAUCCUGAUGUCUUCGGAUGGAUUUGAGUAUGAGCACGUAUGUUGGGACCCGAAAGAUGGUGAACUAUGCCUAAGCAGGGCGAAGCCAGAGGAAACUCUGGUGGAGGCUCGCAGCGGUUCUGACGUGCAAAUCGAUCGUCAAAUUUGGGUAUAGGGGCGAAAGACUAAUCG
rnacentral:rRNA from 1 species